GAGAUUUGAAAAUUGCUUGAUUUCGUAGAUUAUUACAUGAAUACAAAGAUUAGGGUCGUUCUUUCUGUUACAAAACAUAUAUUUAUAAAUAUUUUUUCACAAAUUAUGCAAUAUCAUUGCCAAAUUCUUUGUAUUACAACACAAUACAGAAAACAAAGAGCAAUUAGAUAAGAGCUCCACCCUUCACAUAUUCAGUAAAUGCCAACGCAACCAGACCCAACAUAGCAAAUCUACCAUUCCACAGCUCCGCAUUAGAUGUCAUGAACCCGUCUGACUUCGAUUCCACGCUCACCCCUUUAAAUAGAGGAAUUAAAGACGCGAGAGAGAGCACAAUGCUUGUUCCUACAAACAAUGGAAUCCCACCGUCGGAUAGCUGCGCAAAGAAAUCCUGGCCCUUGGUUUUGGAGGAGAUCCUGAUAAGCAUCAAAAUGGGGAAUUGGAUCAGCAAGUGCGGAUUGAGGUGUAGCGGGCGGUACAAUGUACUCCACCUUAGUGUCCAUAUCAUACUUGACCGUUUUGUAAAUACGUGUAGUAGAGGUGUAUUCAUCUCAUUCUUUCCUGUUUAUAUGCUUGGAACAUUGUAGAGGACUCUCCCAUAUACAAAAAUUAUUGACAACACAAUGUAAUGAAUAAGAGACGAUGUCUUUCCACUUUUCAGGGCAUGGUUACCAUAGAGAAAAGUAGACUUGGAGUGGAAUCACGCAAACGCUUUUUUAUUGACAUUGUUAUCUCCGAAUAUACAACUAAAGAAAAAGGUUGAAAUACAUAAAAUAAAAUAACAGUUUUAUAAUUAUAUCAGAGUUUGAUUAAGCUUUUUAUUAGUAAGUGUUUCAAUUUCGAUUGGAUAAUAUGAUUGAUCUUCUGCAUUACAUUUAAGUUUGAGGUUUAAAAAUACGGAUUAAACUUGAGACAUUUUGUAUCAUAAAAUUUUCCUUACAUCUACUUAACAAGUUUAAAUAAUGAAACUGUUAUGAAUUUUAUAAGUUCGAACUUAAAUAUAAUUAACAAGUUUAAAUAAUGAAAUUUAAUAAAUUUAAAAUUCAAACAUUCGAUUAAAAAUAUACAAGACAGCUAAUUUGAAGUCGGAGAUUUGAAAAUUGCUUGAUUUCGUAGAUUAUUACAUGAAUACAAAGAUUAGGGUCGUUCUUUCUGUUACAAAACAUAUAUUUAUAAAUAUUUUUUCACAAAUUAUGCAAUAUCAUUGCCAAAUUCUUUGUAUUACAACACAAUACAGAAAACAAAGAGCAAUUAGAUAAGAGCUCCACCCUUCACAUAUUCAGUAAAUGCCAACGCAACCAGACCCAACAUAGCAAAUCUACCAUUCCACAGCUCCGCAUUAGAUGUCAUGAACCCGUCUGACUUCGAUUCCACGCUCACCCCUUUAAAUAGAGGAAUUAAAGACGCGAGAGAGAGCACAAUGCUUGUUCCUACAAACAAUGGAAUCCCACCGUCGGAUAGCUGCGCAAAGAAAUCCUGGCCCUUGGCAACCUCCACCGCAAUGGCAGCUACAAAACCAACCAUGGCUAGUCUGCCAUUGAUCCUCUCUGGUGCUGGCCCAGCGAACGCCAACACGUCUGAGAACUUCGUGCUAAACUGUUAAUUUAUCAGGUAUAACCAUUGUUAUUAGCUAUUAUGCUUUUACUAAUUGCAAAUUCAUUUCAAUAAUCUUCCAUUUCACCAAUUAAUCAUGAUAUAGUUUAGGUGUUCAUAUCAGAAUCACUACCUUUGGAGGAGGAGUAGGUUUUGGUUUAGGUGCUCCGACAGGUUCCGUGGGCUGUAUCUUCUCAACCUCUUGCUCCUUUUGAUAUCCCUGCAAAAUCAAACGUAUUAUUAAACCGUAAUUAACCAUCUCAUCUUCUAUUACAAGAAACUUCACUAGAAUCAGAAAGACUAAAAGGCUUACCUCCGCCAUGCACUUCACUGGAGUAUAAGCAACUCUUCCAGGUCGCGGCACGUACGGCGUCGCAAGGAAACGGCCGCUCACUCUGGCUCGAGUAGAAACACGUAGUGCUGGACCAGCAAAGACGGCACCUUGCAUGGCUGUUGCUCCGGCCAUUUUCCACAGCUAACUAUGCUCAACAGAGAUAGAGUAGUCUUUGCGUCGAUUGAUACUCAAAAACACCUCUUGCUUUGCGUUAUUACUCUAUAAGUGAAGCAGAGUAUUUAUAGCCUAGUUAGGCAAUGGGGAAUAGAGGAUAUUUUAGAUACACGUCACUGAAAUGAUCAAUUUCUGGAACGUGAAGUGGUCCAGUUGUCUACAAAAAGUUGGUGACGUGGCUCCUUUAUGAUCCACCAGUUUAUGCCCAAGUCCUAACCCAUUAAGAUUGAGGCCAGUAUUGUUCCAGGUUUUACAGUGUUAGUGCUAGUAGAAACCUGUGGCUGUAGGGCUUUCUAGUCAUUGAUCUCAUGUUAUGCCACGAUUUUACCACAUUAUUUUGACACAUAGCUUUCUGCGUAUCAUUUCUAUUGUUAGUUUGACACAUUCAUUUUCUGUCUUUUGAACACAAAUUUUUAAUUUCAAUGUUUUAAUUCAACACGGAAAGGAAAUUUCAUUAGGAAAUUCAUAUUGGAAAGAGCAUUAAUUAGAAAAAUAAAAUAGACUGGCAACUUCAAAUAGAAGAAAACUAUUCAUUAUUUUCACAAAAUGCACAACUUAAAUUUUAUUAAUAUUACAGAAAACAGUCUCUCUGUUUCUUUAAUUUGGAGUUAUUUUGGUGGGGUAUUAGCAAGGUUAUACGUAUAACUAGAGAACAUCUGGAGUUCUCUCGAACCUCCUACUUCUUCAAUUGGUACAGCAUCACAAAUUUCUUUUAAAUCUUCUUCUGUUAGCUUCACUGUCAAUGACCCAAUGUUGUUUUCAAGAUUCUUCAACUUAGUUGUUCCUGUAAAACAUCAAAAUGAUAGAAUCACCAUCAAAUGCGCAUGAUCUUCAAAAAUAAGUUUCAAGUUGGACACAACAGAAAACUAAUAAAGCCAAAGUCGCAUACCAGGAAUUGGAACUAUGUCUUGUCCCUGGUGGAGAAGCCAUGCCAGAGCUAAUUGAGCUGGAGUGCAGGCAUGCUUUUCAGCUAGGUCCGCGAGACGAGCAUAUAUAGGCUUAUUUCUCUCUAAAUUCUCUCCAGUAAAUCUUGGAUGCAAAGCCUAUGUGACAGAGAUAGAAGAUCAUUUAAAAGAAUUAAUCAAGAGAAAGAACUUGCACGUCAAUGGAUGAAUAAAUUAUAUAUAUCGCAGUACUUGUAAUACCAACCAAUAUACUCUUUUUAGGCAAGCUCUCCACGACUGCCUUUCCAGCAAAGAAUCCUCGACCGAGAGGGCUGUAUGCUACUAUCCCAAUACCAAGCUCUCUGAGAAAGAGAACAACAUUUUAAUCCUUAUUCUCGAUACUCUAAAAAUAUAUGAUGUCAGCCCAAUUGACAUACAUUGAAGAAGAAAAGUUUGUGCUCUGAAAAAAAUAAUUCAGAUCUUACUCAUGCUUAAAUAUGCAAACAUCAAAGUAGAUAUAUAGAUAACUAACCUACAGACUGGAACAAUAUCAUUUUCAAUCUCACGACUCCACAAUGAGUACUCCAUUUCUACAGCAGUUAUGGGAUGAACAGCAUGUGCCCUCCUAAUAGUGUCUACACUAGCUUCAGAUAAACCAACGUACUUUAUCUUUCCCUCCACUACUAACUUCUUCAGCUCCCCCAUCUGCACGCAGAAUUUAAUCAAAAUCUAAAUUCUAAAAUUGAUCAACAUUUAUUAUUAUCAGGGAAGAAAAGGAAUAAUAUACAAGUGUUGCACCAAAUGUAGAGGAAAUCUAAUAUGUAACUCUUACAGUAUCCUCUAUUGGCACUGAUGUGUCAAUCCGAUGCUGAUAGUAUAAAUCAAUAUAAUCCAUGUUUAGCCGCUUUAGACUAGCUUCACAGCAUUGCCUCACAUAUUCUGGAGUACCGUUCACUGCAAAUUCUAGUCCAUUGAACCUUUUAAUGCCAAAUUUUGUUGCUAACUGAAUUUUUUCUCGAGGAAGCUGCUUUAAAGCCUGAAAAUGGGAUAAGAGAGAACUAAUGUAUCAGCAUUCUGAUAUUUAUUUAUCAUAACAUUGAAGCACAGCUUUUUCUAUAAUUUUAUAGCAUCACUUGAUCCAAACACUGCUCACUUCAGCAUAAACGAAUUAUUGCUUUUAUCCCAUUUUUAAUAUAGUAAGUAGUUUCUCUUUUGUAUAAUCUGUUCACACGCACACUGUCAGUUGGAAAUUUGAGGAGCUUCAAUUAUAAAUUUGAAUUAGAAGAAAAAAUAUGUUACCUUCCCAACCAUGAUUUCAUUGUCAUGAUCAUCUCCGUAUAGAUCAGAUGUGUCAAAAAAGGUGAUGCCUUUGGAAAAAACUUCCUUCAUAAAUUCACAUCCAACUUCAUGUGGGAGCGGUGGAUUAUAUAUUCCUGAGAGUCCAGCACACCCGAAACCCAGUACAGAAACCUGCAAUUGAAACAAUUUGAAGAUUUAUUUUUCCAUUUAUAUGCCAGUUUAUUUUGUACUCUGAUUUACUUAAAUUAAAAUAUGAUUUCUGAUACUCAACAAGUAGAAAUAGUGGAGAAAUUAGUAUUGUCGUAAACAGAAUAAUAUGCUAAAAAAUUGACUACGCAAAGAAACUUAUUAAAUAGGUUGCAGAAUCCAAUCACAGAAAAUUCAAACUAAAAUAUGUCAAGUAUGAAACGAAUAAUAGUGAUUCAUGAAAAUCAACUGUUGAUCAGAGGUAGAAAAAGCACCAAGAUUGUUGCUGUCAUAGUUAUAUUUUGCAAAAUAAAGUUAUAUUUUGCAAAAUAAAUAGUAAAUUGCAUGCUUACCUCCAGUCCCUGACUUCCCAGCUUCACUCUUGGGAUUUGGAUCUUCGACUUCUCUUCCAUGGUGAAAAACAUACAAACAGAACUUAGCUGAAGAUGCAAUUACAAGAAAUAAUAAUUUGAGUGUAAAAGUUCCCAUCACUAUAUAAUAUUUAUAAUUAUGUAUUAAAUUUCCCUUCCCACCAACUUUUCAUUUGUUUUCUUAUGGUAGGGACCAUCUGUUACCUCUUACUAAUCAUCAUAUUUUAAUCGCACUCCAGAUUGGAUCGGGAAUGGAGAACUUUGUUUCUAAGGUUCUGAGAGAAAAAAAAUAAUUGAAUGCAUAACUUAAUAUUUAUCUUUCACGUAAUAUUGCUUGCCCAAAUAAUAUUACAAGAAGUCUAAGCAGGAAAGCCACAAGAAUAGAAACACAACACUUCAUUAAAAUACUUACAUGAGAGAGAGAAAAACAAAGGAAGAAGAAGCAACUUUUCUAAAACUAGACAUAAGAUCUAAAUGUAAUUUAUUUUCCAAUCAAGAGAAUUAGAGAAUAAGAAAGCAAUAGAGGUUUCAACUUCCACGUCCAACAGUUACAUUACAACUAAAAUUGGUUUGAUUAUGUUGGCACAACGACUAAUGCAUCAGAAUCAGAGACAUUAAACACUUAGCAUAGACCUCGUGUCUGUUACAUCAUUUACAACCAAGAUAUUCACUGUCUCAUUUAUUAUAAGAAAAGGACAGGAAGGGACACUUCCUUUUAUUUUUUGUUUUUAUCUUUUGCAAGAAGAAUAUACAUGUUCUAUUUUAGUUUUGGUGGAGUGUUUGCGAGCCUCCAGCUAUACUUAGCUAAAAUAGGCACUUCUCUUGAGCCACUAACUUCUUUAGCAUCCACGGCAUCUGAAAUUUCUUUUAUAUCCUCUUUUGUAAGCGUUACUGCCAAGGAACCAAUGUUAUUAUCAAGGUUCUUAACCUUGGUUGUCCCUGCAUAAGUUCCAACAUCAAAAUUAUUGGUCACUAAAAACUUUGAAUCAUGCUUAUAAUAAGUUGCAGCUUUAAAACCAGACCGCUGAAUGGUACGGUUUCUCUUCGCGUGAUGAUUAAAUGAACUGAACAAAAGAAUUCAAUCAAAUGGAUAUGUUCGAAGGUCUCCUAUACCAGGAAUUAGGCAUAUGUCAUCCCCUUGAUGGAGAAGCCAUGCCAGGGCUAACUGAGGAGGGGUGCAGCCAUGCUUUGUAGCCAAUUCAGCGAGUCGGGUGUACAAGAAUUUGUUCUUCUCUAGAUUCUCCUCUUUGAAUCUUGGAUGUGAUAGUCCCUAUUGCAACUUAUUCGUCAGGCACAAAGAAAGACUCAAAAUUUUGUUUCAUACAUAUUGCAACUAGUUUAGGCAAUGCAGAACAUAUUAUGUGUACUCUUAAUGCAUUCAAGAAAAUUUGAUAUAAUAAUAGUAUAAAAAGAUUCACUUGUAAUUUAAUCGUAAUAAUAACUUACCAAGAAACUCCCAUCGGGUAACUUUUCCACAACUGCCUUCCCAGCAAAGAACCCAAUACCAAGAGGACUAUAUGCCACUAUCCCAAUACCAAGUUCUCUGGGAAAGUAGAGGUAAAAAAAUACUGAUCAAUUCCAAGAUUGUGAACAGAAACCUGCAUUGCAAUGAAGUUUUAUAAGUUUCAUUUCAAGAUUCAACAUCUAGAACGUACCGGCAAAGGGGAAUUAUUUCAUCUUCAAUAUCACGAGUCCACAGAGAAUACUCCAUCUGUAAAGCAGAAAUGGGAUGAACCGCAUGAGCUCUCCUUAUUGUGUCUGCAUUUGCCUCUGAUAACCCAAUGUACUUUAUCUUGCCUUCAUCUACUAGCUUCUUAAGCUCUCCCAUCUAUCCCACCAACAAUUGUUCCAAAAACAGAUUCAAACUUAUUCAAAUGCAUAAUAUGUAGAUGGAAAUCAAAUACUUGCAUUAAGAAAUGUGUCAUGAUAGUUACAGUAUCCUCUAUUGGCACUGAAGUAUCAACACGGUGCUGAUAAUACAGAUCAAUAUAGUCGAUAUUGAGUCGUUUGAGACUAGCUUCACAGCAUUUCCGAAUAUAUUCAGGGCUGCCCGUAACGAUGACCUGACCAUCAUCUAACAAAGAAAAUCCAAAUUUUGUUGCCAAUUGAACUUUUUCUCGAGGAAUCUGCUUCAAAGCCUAAAAUUAUAUGCGAAAAUAAAAUAAAUAAGAAAUAUAGACUUUCUUGAGAAAGAAAUUUUCACAUGUUCAUUUCGUUUUGUUUCAUCGCCAUCAAACAAAAGCAUGCUUGUUUACAAUCCCUUCUUACCAAAUUUAUUUGCAACAUAAUCACCGAUUAUAAUUUUGGUGUAUUUAUUAACAACUUAUAAACAGCCAUAAUUUAUGCAAAUAAUUCUUUUAUUCAGAUGAUAGACAGACAGAACAAAAAAGAUUACCUUGCCAAUCAUAAUUUCGUUAUCAUUGUGUCCAUAGACAUCUGCUGUAUCAAAGAAGGUUACUCCCCUAUGAAAGGCCUCCUUUAUGAGAGAACAGCCAUCUUCAUGAGAUAGAGGAGCAUUCAGCAUUCCAGAAAGUCCUCCGCACCCUAGUCCCAGUUUAGAAACCUGCAGGAUCAAGAAGGACGUCGUUAAGAGAGGGUCUUUCUUCAAUUAAACAAUACUAGUUUACGGAAAACAGAUGGAAGUUUGUGUUUCCACAUAACAGCUGGGCAGUUUCUCUUCUUUUUAUACGUAAUUACUCUUCAGAAACCAGAGGUUAUUGACGACAUUCAUCAUAAUUUUUAUAUGUUUGUUGAGCAGAAUCAAGAAUGGCAACUUGAAAGAUCCUUCACUUGCCUCUAGACCAUAGUUCCCAAGUUUCAUUUUUGGUAUUUGGAACUGUUUCUUCUCCAUUUUCAACCCAAAUUUGGAGAUUGGAUCAAGAAAUUCUGCUUCACUUCAUAAAACACGUACAGGAUGAGAAACAAAAUAUGCUAUAAUUAAGGACCUUUUGCAAUUGCUGACCUGAUUUGUUUGCAACUUAUCAUCAGGUUAAAUUACUAUUUGGUCCCUAUAAAUUAAGAGAAAGUUACAGUUUGCUGAACUAAACUAAACGUGCCAUAAAUAACGAAUCAGUCACUAAAAUAAAAUUACGUGGAAUUUCUUGAAAACGAGCGGUAAGAUUGGUGGAAAGAGGGGCCUAAAACGUUGUCGCUGUGGGAAAAGCAGACAUCUUUAGUGGCGCAAAAAACGACGUCGUAUACCAUGAAAAAAGAAACAAAGAAAUGAAGACUGACAAAUUGCAUAUCACGAACGAACUGUGUCCUCUGUGCUAAGCGUCUGUUUUUUGAUCUCUUGAAAAUUCGAAUAAAAGAAGAAAAAACAAUUAAAAAUGGAGAGAAGGCAGAUCUACGCGGUGGCGUUCCUUUUAUUCAGCUUAAUUGGCCGCAUAUCUUCUCUCUCCGUCACCGUAAACGACGUCGAAUGUGUCUACGAGUACGUCCUCUACGAAGGCGACACGGUUUCUGGAAACUUCGUGGUGGUCGAUCACGACAUCUUCUGGAGCUCCGAUCACCCCGGCAUCGAUCUCACGGUAAGUCAGCCGCCUUCCUCUGAAGCUUGUUUUUUAUUCGAAUUCGUGUCCAUUUUCAUUAUCCCGUUGACAUGUAGAUCUAAAUAUUUGGUCUCUUUUUUUCCCUAAUUUGUUGCUUGGUUCCAAUCUUCGGAUUAAUAUGUCGGGCGUUCAAUAUAUGUUACAUUUGAUUGAUUAGGGAUUAUGAUAAUUCGGUCAAACGCAUUCAGAAAGCUGGGUCAAUAAAAUAAUGUCCUCUAAUGCCUGGAAUGCUAGGAAAAGUAUUUUCUCUGUCACUGGAAAGGAUUAGAGUUGGCUUGUAAGCAACAUUCAUUAGUUUUGUGGGAUCAAUUAUUUUGAAGUUGAGGUUGUUUCACAAACUCUAAUUAUAUGUUCUACCCAUGAAUGAACUGUUGAAAAAAGAGAUUUGAGAAACUAAUCAUUAUGUAUUUACCAAAUGACUAUGCUGCAAAUGCAAUUGUGAAUGAAAAAUCAAUUAGUUCAGUACUACUGCCAGUAAAAGAUUUAAUAAGAUGUAACUUUAUGGAAAAGUCAAAAUUAAUGGUGUCCACAAUAUCAUCAUUGGAAAAGGAAGUUAGUUCUAAUUUUUAAUUAAAUGUCUCCAUUAUAUACACCCAUCGUGAAAUCAGCAUGCAUCAUAUUGUAUCCUAAUCAAUACAUGCCCAUAUAACAUACAACUACACUUAACCAUAAUCUCAAACUAGUUAGGUUCGGUUAUAUGAAUCCUUUGUCUCUAUUUUACCUUGUUCGUAGCUAAGUCUGCAUUAACUUCAAGGCCAAUAAAAUGGAUCAUAAAUUUACAUAAUUCAGUAAAAGUAAGAGUUAUAUUUGAAGAAAAAAAUUUGAGUGCCUGCAUGUGUGUUGCGAUUGCAAUUGCAUGGGAGGAAAAGUGAACACUAGAAUGAGAAUCUGAAUCUUUUGGUUGAUUUUGGGUUGGAUGCAAAGUUUUAGUGGGUUCCAUUUAUAAAUGAGUUGGAUACACUUCAAAUCUAAUGAGAUAUUAGUCGUAUAGUGACCCAAACAAAAUUUCGUUAGGAUUCUCACCUUUGUUCACGUUCAUAUUAUAUAGAUGAGUAUGAGAAGCACGCUUAGCAUGUUGGUAGAGGAAUGCUAAAGAACUUUUCGGUAUUAGGUUGAGGUAUGCCAUGCAUCUUUUAGGGUCUGCAACUUGUAAUGUGUUUUGAUCCAUUGGUCUUGCUGUUUAAAUAGUAAUAUUCACUGUUUAUGGAUGUAUACCUGAUACUGGUUUACCUGCAGCAAAUUGUAUUGAUUUGACUUGUUAUUUCUAUAUCUUAAUUCUGGGUCGUCAUGCAGGUGACAUCUCCUGCAGAUAAUGUAGUUCACACUGUGAAGGGGACAUCUGGGGAUAAGUUUGAGUUUAAGGCCCCAAGAAGUGGAAUGUACAAAUUCUGCUUUCACAAUCCGUACUCAACACCAGAGACUGUCUCCUUCUAUAUUCAUGUGGGUCAUAUUCCGAAUGAGCAUGAUCUUGCUAAAGACGGUUUGUUCGCUUCUCUCUCAUUUAGGCACACUCAUCUCUAUGUGCUUUGAGUUGAACUAGUACAAAGAGUAGCAAUAAGCCAUUUGGUUCAAACUACAUAUUUUUCGAUCAUGACAUUUAAGAGAUUUUAUUCUGCUGUGUGUUUGAUUUUUACAAUUGUCUCUAACAGAACACUUGAAUCCCAUUAAUGUUAAAAUUGCUGAGCUGAGAGAGGCAUUGGAAUCUGUUACAGCAGAGCAGAAAUACUUAAAAGCUCGUGAUGCUCGACAUCGCUUGAGUAAGUCCCUUUCUAUCUCUCUAAUUCUUCCUUUCUUUCCAGUAACCCUGUAAUUCAGUAUCUUCUUUCUCUCUCUCUCUCUCUCUCUCUCUCUCUCUAAUUAACCCAUCAUGCACUAUUAUAUCAUGGAAAAGUUCCAACUUCCUUGUGGAUGUAAAAAUCACAAAAUUUGUAUUCUUUUGAAGCAUAUUUCACUGAUAUCAUGUUUGAUAUUUUUCAAAGAAACCUUUUUCUGGGGAUGAGUAACUUUUAAUACAAAUCGGCUAAAAUUUCUUCAUACACAUGUUUUGAUGUUUUAAACACUAUCGAUUUGCCAUAUAUCACUUGUUUGAGUUAUUGUUUGUGUUUCCUCCGCAGCCAAUGAGAGUACACGGAAGCGUGUUAUAGGCUACACAGUGGGAGAAUACAUUUUGUUGGCUCUUAUAAGCGCACUUCAGGUUGUCUAUAUUCGCCGGCUCUUCAGCAAGUCAGUGGCAUACAAUCGGGUCUAAGCCACUUGAUUGUAUGUUAAUUAAGGAUAGGGUGAUUCACUAAUGAGUUCAGUGCAGUUACUGUCAUGCACUUAAGAAAAACUGAUCUGUCUGUUUAUACUGUUCAAUUUUUUUACUUCAACCAUAUGGUAAUUUAGAACAUAAAAGUUUACUGCAACAUUCAUGGGCUUUGAGCUGUUUCUCUUCAUCACUGUCACUCAAGUUUUGUUUUCAGCUUUCUGUUGGGUUUUGCGUAGAAGGAUCUUAAGCCCGACUACAACCUUUUUCAAAUAUGUAGGAGUUCAGAGAAAUCACGUUAAGAUUGGAACGGAAGGCAAAUGAAAGCAUAGGGAAGUAGAUAAUCCAACCUCUGUUUAGAUUGGAUUGGAUUGAAAUUAUAAAAACUAUUUAUUCUUCAAUUAAUAAAUCUCUAAAAUUAUAUUUUCAAACAAUAUUUCAAUCUGAGUUUUCAAAAGAAAUAAUCCUUCACAGUAAAAAGACCAGACUGUUUUCGCAAAAUUCAAGGGUUAUUUAAUUUAUUCUGGACAGAGAAAAGAUAUAAUGCCAAUUUUACUCGUUAUCAAAUGAAUUGUUUUUUUUUUUUUCUUUUUAUCUUUCUUAAAAUUUGUUGUCCGAAUCUUUUUUAAUAUGAAAGUGCACACUACCAACUUGGGCUCAGCGUUCGAAAGAUUCCUACCUUUUCCAAUUUUUGGACAAAGUAGAAAUUUAUAUCCUGCCCUGUUACUAACAUUCCGUUGUCGUCCAGCGGUUAGGAUAUCUGGCUUUCACCCAGGAGACCCGGGUUCGAUUCCCGGCAACGGAAUUUUCCUUUUUGAGAACACAAACUAUUUUUGUAUGUGUAUAUAUUUUACGAUUAUUGGAGUUUUAGUUCCCCUUUUUCAUAUUAAUUUUAAAUUCACUGAGAACAGUAAAUUCAAGAAGUUAAUAAUACAAAUAAAAUAAUUAAUUUUAAUAAGAACAAAAGUUUGAUGACUUAAUUUUAACUAAACUAAAACUUCAAAGUUUAAUAUUUUGAUUAGAAAUUAAGCCUAAAAUUGAUAAAUAAUAAACUUAAUAGAUAAAAUCAAUAUAUUCAAUUGCUUUAUAUAUAUUUUUAGAGAAGAAAUAAAUGAAUUUAUUCACAUAGCGGAUCCAAUAUAUAAAAAUUAAUUGACUUUUUUUUAGGAUUUUUUAUUUUAUAUAUAUAUAUAUUUAUAUAUCAAAAUUAAUUCAUAAAAUUUAAUUUAUUUAUAUUUUUAAUUUUUUUUUAAAAAUAUAAUGCAUUGAUGUAGGAAAAAAAAUAAUUUUAGAUCUUCACGGUUCUUUGGGCGAUAAUUAAAUAAUUAACCCGCAUAUAAUUCAAUCCACCGACCCUUCCCACGCUUUCACGUAUAAAAUGUACUAUGGAUAAGAUCGAACAUUUUUUUUUAAAUUAAAAUAACCGAUGAGAGUUGGAGCGGAGCUUACUAGAAUAACCCUGCUCUUUCUUACCCCUGUUUAUGAUCAAGUCAACGAUGAUUUUGGAUUUAUCUCUUACGAGUGAAGAUCCUUAUUCAUCUCAUAAUACUAUAUAACAUUGUUUUUUAAAAAAUGUCAAAAAAAAAAAAAAAAAAAAUUUGCUCACACUUCUACAGUUUUUUUUUUUUUUUUUUUUUUAAACUUUGGAAUUCUCUCAAUGGCGAGGUUAGAUGAAUUUGCAUACACAAGAACAUCUACUUCUGUUUAAACAAUUAAAGGAAUACCCCUUUCAAUAUACCCACAAACGAAAAUAUGAAUAUGUAUUGCUAUACUUUUAUUAACAUAGGAAACAAGUUUAGCCAAUUAUCACUUAUCUCCACCUUCAUGUUUUUAAUAUUCUUUUUUUUUUUUUUUUUUGAGGAAAAUAAUAUUCUUAAUUAGGAUCCCAAUCAAAUCAAUUAACAUAAACAUCUACCAUGACUUAUUAUGUUAUUUCUUUUAUUUAUUUUUAUUUUUAUUUUUUAGAGGCUUUUUUUUUAUCUAAAACAUUUGUUUUAGAAGGUUAAAGAAUAUUAAUUCAUUUUAAUUUUGUUAUUAUUUCUUCUAAAUUCAGCAAUUAUUUUUUAUAUUUCUUAAAAUCCAUUUUAUAACUCAUAUUUUUCUGUUUUUUUAAUUUUAAAUAUAAUAAUUGAGAGAACCCAGAAAAAAAUAAUAUAAUCAAAUUUAUAGAGUGUUUUAUUAUCGGGGAAAUAAUUUUAAUUGCUUUUUAAUUAGUAUAUGAAAAUUUUAAAUAAGAAAUAAGAAAUGGGACAAAGGAAUUAUUAAAUAAAUUACCUUAAUAAUGAGUGUAUUGAAAACUUUUAUAAUAAGAUAAUUUAAUGAAAUGCUCUAAAAAUUGAAAUGAAAAGCGAAAAGAAAAGAAAAAUCUUACUCAUUAUUGCAAGAAGGAUAAAGGAGGAUUUAUCCAAUACAGAAGUAAAUUUCUAUAAAAUUAAAGGGCAAUAUUGCCAGUGAAAAUUUUAGUGCCUGAAACCAUAUAUAAUUACGUCAAAACUGCCAUCUCCUCUUCUCUUUCCUCUGCUUUCACAGAUUAGACGCUCCAAAUCAUUGACAAAACAAUGUUGGCAGUUUUUGACAAGUCGGUGGCUAAGUGUCCGGAUGCGCUGCGGAGCCCGCACUCUGGCCCUGCCUCCGCACUGAAAGAUGGGUUUUUGGCUAACCAUUUUGGGUCUGUAUAUCCUGGUUCAGUCACUGUCAAUCUUGGUUCUGCUGGUGUUCUUGCUUACUCUCUAGAAAAGCAAAGGCCCCUUCUGCCGAGGUAAAUAUUUUUUCCAUACUCAUUUCUUCUUUCGUUAUUUUCGCUGUUUAUCAUCUGUGUUGAUCUAAUCUUGAUGGUUCCAAGGAUAUGUUUAUGUUUGAUUCACGAGAAAAACAAAAAUUUGAUACAGAUGAUAAUUUAUGAUAUAUACUUUCUCAUGGUUCUUUAUAUAUUAGAUUUUUUUGAAAAAUAAAAAAAUUGAUGGAUCGUUUCCAAGAUCGUUUCCUUAUACUAACUGCAUGUGCAUUUGGAUGGGCGUUUAUAAUCUGGUGAUAUUUGUUUGCGGAAAUCUCAAGUCUUGUCGAUUCUUUCAGUAGAUCUUGAUGAUUUAAAUUUGGGAACUUGGUUUUUGUGAAUUCAUACGAAAGAAUCGCAGCGUAGCCGGAUUUGGGUUUCUGAUUUGGUUGAGGCUUGUACCUAGCAAAAAUUGUUUCUGAGAUCUUUCUUUAUUCUGUUGGUUUAUCUAAGGUUUUGUUUUUGGUUUAGUAUUGCAUAUGAUCUGAUUCUGGGGAUUCCUUUUGUUUUUUUUCUCUAAUUUCCUCCUGAAUAACAUAUUAUUUUAUUUAUGCUUUUUAACAGAGACGAAAGAUGACUAAUCUUUAUAUCAUAUCAGUGCUCGUCAUUUUUCUUGGAAGCAUUUGCAUGUUACGUAUAUUGGAGUAAUCCUAUUUGUAUACCAAAUAUCAUUUGAAUCUUGCUUCCGCAGAAUAGUCUAUAACUCCCAUGCAAAGAUAGAAUUUUUACAUUAUUUUAAUAUCUGCGUUUUGAUUGGUUUUUUGUAGCAAUUUUGUCUCUUGUCGUGGUAUAGAAGGUAAACGGUUUAUUUCUUUAUGUUUGAAUAUUAAAGAUGUUUUGGCGUGUGUUUCUCUUCUGGAAAUCCAAUUUUUGCAGGAAAAUAAGAAGUCCAUAUCAACUUUUAUUCAUUUCCCAAAUUUGUCUUUUGAAGAUUGCAUAGAAGUCGCAAAAAUUCUGAAAAGUACAUUCUUGGUUUCCCUUUCUCAUUUGUUCUUAACUUUGGUAUAUAUAUAAUUUUCUCUUGCUAGAUUAUUUGCUGUUGUAGACGACAUUUUCUGCUUGUUCCAAGGAAACAUUGAGAAUGUUGCAGUACUUAAGCAGCAAUAUGGCUUGAGCAAGACUGCAAAUGAAGUAAUCAUUGUUAUUGAAGCUUACAGAACCCUCAGAGAUCGAGGGCCUUAUCCUGCUGAUCAGGUUGUCAAAGAUAUUGAAGGGAAAUUUGCUUUCAUUUUAUAUGAUAGCACUUCAAAAGCCACAUUUAUAGCUGCUGUAAGUAGGUCUUUCGGUUUAGAAUUCUGCCCUUUGUUGUCAUGGAUGCCCCCUCAUGCAUUCUUCCACCACCCCCCCCCCCCCCCCCCCUCUCUGACUCUUCCAUNNNNNNNNNNNNNNNNNNNNNNNNNNNNNNNNNNNNNNNNNNNNNNNNNNNNNNNNNNNNNNNNNNNNNNNNNNNNNNNNNNNNNNNNNNNNNNNNNNNNNNNNNNNNNNNNNNNNNNNNNNNNNNNNNNNNNNNNNNNNNNNNNNNNNNNNNNNNNNNNNNNNNNCUGAUGCCCCCCCCACCAUCCUUCCCCCCCCCCCCCCCCCCCCCCCCUUGGAUUGAUCUGCUCCCCUAUAUUUUAUAUAUGAACAGUUGCUUGAAUUAAGCUUAACUCUUUUCUCCUUUUAUGCAGGAUGCUGAUGGAAGUGUACCCUUCUUCUGGGGAACCGAUUGUGAAGGUCAUCUUGUUCUUUCAGAUGAUGUUCAGAUUUUGAAGCAGGGCUGUGGGAAAUCAUUUGCACCAUUCCCUAAAGGUGAAAUUUUUUUGAAAUAAUAGUUCAAUUAUUUUCCAUGUGAAUGAUCUAUCAGAAUCACUUUUCAGUGCUUUUUCUAAAAGCUAUCCUAGCAUAAAGGAAAAAAAAAAAAUCUAAAAAGACUAAGGAAAACCCAUGAAUAGGACUAAAAUGUGCUUCUAUUGUGUCUAGAAUUAGUGUGAGAUGCUAGCUGGUAAGAAGGGUAUACUAUUUCCUUGAAUUGAAAUGUUCACCACAAUAUAUGCAUCAUAUUUUUCUUCAUGUAUUUAUAUUUUAAACUUUCUUCUCUGUUUACCACAUGAUCCCAUGAACUUUAGAUGGUCAUUUGCAAAUAUAGGAUACCGUGACAUCUCCAAGAAUUAGAUUGCUAGAUCACUUAAAUCUAUUGGUUUCUGUUGUUACCUCAGGAUGCUUCUUCACAACUUCUGGAGGCUUGAGGAGCUUUGAGCACCCGUUGAAUGAGUUGAAGCCAAUUCCAAGAGUUGAUAGUUCAGGUCAGGUUUGUGGUGCGAAUUUCAUGGUGGAUGAAGGGGUUAAGAAGGGAGGUGGCAUGCCAAGAGUUGGAAGUGCUUAUGACUGGUCCUCUAACUACUAAUGAGAAGUUCUUAUCAGCAGGCUCGUGUUAUUAACGAGCCCGAUUGGCUUUUACUAUAGCUUUUGCUGAUCUUACAUUCCCAUGUUUUAAGAUUUUGCUGCAUUAAUAUAUCCCAUGGUAAAUAUAUUAGCAUUCCCUAAUGAGACAGCAAUUUACGCUGCUGUAAAUGUUGCUUGCUACUAUCCAAUUAAGCCCAUACUUUGCAGGGUUAUAACAUAAAAUAAGAUUUACCGUUCAUACAGUAUCUCCGGUAAUGGUGGUUGUUUUGUAUUUGGAAAUUCAUCUUGGCUUGUUGGAGAGAGAGAGAGAGAGAGAGAGAGAUGUUGAAGUUGCAAAUUUACUCGUGCCCAACAACUAUUAAGAGUUAUGGAUUUUAGAACGACGCAUGCGCAUAUGCACAGCGUUGCCAUGAGUCAUCACCAGCCUUUAAUUCCGAGGCAUGGGGAGGUUUUUACAAAGUGAUGAAGACGCGAUAGCGUGGUUAGUAGGGAAUAGGAAUAGGGAUAGUAAUGUUGCCCAUAGAACGCCUCAGGUAUUCAUCCAUAAAUUCGAGGCGUUGAGCUUUUUGGAUACUCUCCACAGUUCCACUGACCCUAUUCAUGAGGAAGCUUGAUUUGAAGUGGCAAGUUAGUUUAUCCCCGAUUUGGUCGUGAGCGCGUAGAAGGCUCCAACGCAGACAAUGAUCCAUAACUAACGCAGGCAAAUAUCAGGAGAAGCUAUAACCAUUUGUCUGCUUCCAAGAUUUUUAAAGCAAGCUCAAAAUUUAUCAAGCAAGUGCAUAUCAAAACACAGCAUAGACGUAAAGCAAUUUUAUAUUAUAAAGCAUCCUAUACAGAGCCCAUUAAAGAACUUAGGAUAAAUGUAGAGCACGCGCAAGGGCAGCUAACCCUUGCUUUUCCUCUUUUUAACUUUUUAAAGCAACAAAUAUCUGUUCUUUUCUAACCUUAUACAUCCACUAGUAGAUAACUGGAAAUCAAACAGUUAUACUAUUACGCCUCUUGCUGUUCAGCGUAAGGCUAGGAGCACACACUUCCUCUAGUCCUUUGCAUCGGCAAUACCGCCUGGUGUUAUCUGAAAUACGUGUUUCUGUAAAGAAUAACUUACCGAUAACGAAAAAUUGCAAUUUUAUUGGGCCAUCUUGGUUUUAUUUCAUCCCAAGUGAUAGUUCGAGUUAGAAUAGGAGAUAAGCACUGGCCAUUUUGGUUUUAUUUCAUCCACGAUCUAAUCUUACUAUAAUUCAAUGAUUAUGUUGCUUUUACUAAUUUUUCAUGGAAAAAUUGAAUCAACCAACCAGAGCAUAAAGUGAAUAUAAUAACAGUAAGUUAAAGGAUAUUGCUUCAGCUUCUGGCAGAUUUGGGGCAUCAAACACCUUACAGACGCGUUGUUCACCUUUUCCUUUCCGGAACAUCAACCUGAUUGUGGCUGCAUGAGCAAGCACGUGACCUCCAGCUGGUUUUUUUGGAUCAGAUAUGAACACUCCGCCACCUGGGUCAGCUAUAACUGCAACCAAGAAUUGUAAAUUGUAUUUAACCAGUACCCUCUGAAGGGCAUAAAUUUAAGCCAUACUUGCAGAACUACAAGGUGAGCUUGUGGCAUAUAACAACAGUUUUUGCUAGAUAUAUAAACUUUACAGAUUAGUAAGAACAAUGGACUGAGAGAUUUUAAGGCAUGCUAUCUUCAGCUUUCCAUGCAUGAGAUUUACAGGACCAAGAGUACCUUGGUUAGUCAUAUAAACUGCAACGUUGAAUUCUUCAGCUAUCUUUGUCAAUCGGGAUAGCAUCUGUGCUAAUUUUUGCUGUAAAAGGCAACAGGCUCGUUAAUGGACAGAUAGGUUUUAUAUACGAGUUGACAUAAUCAUUAUUAAGAAGCUUGUUAUGUUACCUGGCGCUCUGCGAGUUCUCCUCUACCAGUGAAAUCCACUCGAAAGAGUGCAAUUACUGAAUCCACAAUCUGAAUUAUAUUCAAACGAAACAACAUCCAUAAACCGUCCUAAUACUGUUACACUAGGAUAACAUGUAGAUGUAUAGUUCAAAACUCACCAGAAGCCUGAAUGGCUCUUCAGACAUUUUGGCAGCCAAACCAAGAAGCAGGUUAUACUGAUGCUCAUAUGUAUAUGCACGAGCAUAGAUGAUCUUUCACAUCCACGGAAUAAAAAAGUGAGAAUGAGCUUCUUCACAGGUCAACUGUUGAUAUCACAACAACUUGAUACUUACAUUGUCUAGGACUGCCCCUGGGUCCAUGCCAAAUCUUUCAGCUAUUGGAACAAUCCUAUCAGGCCGGCUGCAAGUGCAUAUAGUUAAGAAAACAGAAGAGUGAACAGAUGUCAUAUGGAGUUGAUUUUAUGAAAAGGGAACAUAAGGCAUAUUGCCUCUCCAAACGCUUCGAAAAGGUAAAAUCAAGGAUACAAAGUUCCCUCGGUAUCGAUAUAAGCGACUUUUCCAUUCCCACCAUGCAUGUUAGAAGGAAGCUGCAAAGGCAAUUGAAAUGUUUAUUUUGAAAGACUUAAUGCAAACUUUUUGAGCAUAUAAUUAAUCAUUAAUUCACAAAUCAAGGCCCCUGCCAACAAAAUGAUACAUCGUUUUUACAUUCCUGAGGAAGGAUGGUUGAACCAUAAAGGCAAGGAGAAUUGUUGGAAUGCAACCUCAAAUUCAUGAAUAGAUAAAUCAUAGCAAGACUGUAAUACUCUGACUCGACCUUUUUGGUAAAAAGAUUUCAGUAUCACUAAUCCACUAGUAUAUGCCUAUUUAUCAAAAUCUCUUUUAGAUUCUUUCGUUCAUUUGAAGGAAGAAUAUACCAAAUUUUCUUCAGAGUAUAAUCAUGCAUCAAAGAACAGGGUAAGAGAGAAACCUGUGUGGAAACACAAAGGGUAUGGGCAAGCUGUGUUUUCCCAGAUCUGGAGUAAUAAAUAAGGGAAAAUUAUGCUACUUUUAUGAUUGAAAAUGGCAAUAAAGCUAUCAACAAAACGACGUAGAAAUGGAAUUCCUCACCGGAAUUCUCCAAAAGCUUCGGUAAUUGCUGAAGUUUCUAUACCACCUUUUUAAAUCAACACAAAAUAUUAGUUGCAAAUAAAUUUUAACAAACUACAUCAUGACAUUAACACCUACCAACAAAUACAGAGAAUCUAAGAGUACAAGACUACCUCCUAACAGUUCAUCAAGUGCUUGGCUUCCUGUUGUGAUGCGAAUCACAGACUUUCUCUGUUCAACGCAGAUAAAUAUUAGAUUUCAUGUUUGUCAAGAAAGAAGCCGCAAUGACUUUGAGACUUCCAGUGGAUAUGUCAAUAACCAAUGGGCUAAAUAAUUGACUCAUUCAAAAGAGCAAAACUCGGAUCUUAGACUUACUCUGAGUAGAGCAUCACUUCCAGUUAUAUAACCAAAAUUCUGAGAAAGGAAAGGAAAGGAAAGGUAAAAAGGAAUUGGUAGUGCGAAAGCCACAAAUAGGAAAUGGAGUUUAAGAAUUGAAUGUCAUUUUUAUUAUCAUACAACUUGAGCACUAACCACUAUUUUCUCUGCAGCUUCACAUAU
rnacentral:lncRNA from 1 species